CAGAGGGUGGUUUAAUAUUUAUGAUCUUAGCUUUGGGAGCUAAGGAUGGGAGUUAGAUUCUCCCCCCUUUGA
rnacentral:tRNA from 1 species